AUGUCACCCAGAAACAUCAACAUUAUUUUUUUAAGACAGUAACUGUGGGUCAGCUGCCUGUGCUCUUCUUUCACAGCUGAGCUAAUGAGCUGCACACCUGAAAGCGGUUCCUUCUAAUCACCAGGAGAGGAUGUUAGGUCCAGCUCUACAGGGAGUCAGUGCUGGAGUGUUGAGCCCUGUACUACAGUGUGGUUUAUGUUGACAGAGGUCUGGCUAAGUACGUGUGACUUUAGUAAUGUUUGUGUUUUAGCAUUCUUGGCUUCCGAACCUUGUUGAGUGGUCACUGCCAGCACUUUUUGGAGAUCGUCACUGGAGCUUCACCUCUCAGGGAGCCCGGACCAGUGUGUAGCUUGGAGAAGCUGAAACAACAUCAGUACCAGGGCUGCAGGAAACAGCCUGACACAUACGUAGCCGCUGAAGUUGGUCAAAUCUCGACACCAAGGAAAAUUUGAUUUCAUUUAAAAUCAUGCAGAACUGAGUUUAAUUGUUCACUCUGAGGGGACCACAGGUGUGAAUGGAAGUGUGAAUUGUCUUCUUUGGCCCAGAGAUUGGUGAGACUGGCGGACUAUCUUGUGUGUUCCUAAACCUGGCACACUGACAGCUGAGAUUAGCUCAAGCAAUCCUGGAAAUCCUCAACCAAACUCAGCUGAGAAGACAGGUGACAGAUGUCUCGGAGCACUGUGAUUGGACACAUCUGGCACUGAAUCACCUGCUGCAAAAGAACAUGGACGAAUACCAGUGACUGAAACACACACUGAAAAAUGACCAAGGGGUUUUCCUUUUACCUUGAAUGAAGUCCUCACCUUCUGUAAAGCAGAUCCUGGUUCUCCAGUCUGACAGCUGAGUAAAGAAGCAACAAGAAACCCGAGCAGAGUGUGUGUGUGAAGGAUGUGACCUCAGGAGCCCUGUAAAAUCCAGGAGCCUCCAUCUUCACAGGCUUCCAUUGACCCUUGACCCCUGCUGCCAUUGUAUACGGUGACAUUUACAGCUGACAAACAAAUGGUAGUUCAGUGCAGACAAUGACAUGAAGCCGUUGUCAGAGAUGUUGACGUUGACCCGGACUUCCAGAGACAACUGAAUCCUUGCAGUAAAUUAUGAUUAUGUGUAAAUCACAGGAGAAAAUACAGGAACAAAACAGAAACAUGAUCCUGAGAAUGAACUGGGGAGACAAGGGCUCUAAAUCUUUUCUGCUUCUUAUGUUUGUGUGUGUCUCAGUUUUUAGAUGUGUGUGUGUAUGUGUAUGUGUGUUUGCGCGCCAGGACCUCCAUCUGUUUUUACUGUUGUCAGUAAAAACCAGAGACCCUGAUCCUCCAAUCAAACGCUCCUCCUUCCUUCUUACCCUCUUCUUUGCAAAGACAGAUCAGCUCGAACACUGUGAAAUCAAAACUAAACUAAACAAAAAAAGUCAAAUUUAUGUAAACAAAUUUGGACAGAUGAAUACUGAAAUAUGUCCAUGUAUAAAAUGAAUGUGUCAGAAACUAACAUGAAUGUUUGUUGUUAUGGUUGUUGUUAAGGUAUCAACCAAAAGCAAACAAAUAAUAAUACAAUUUUAAAUGACUUAAAAUAAUAAUAAAAAAAUGUACAAAGCAAAGAAUGAAUAUAAAUAGGUAAUAUAACAUAUUAUUUAAAAAUAUUCUUUGAACUAACCCCCAGCAGAACAGAUAGAAUUUAUCCAAGAAGCAACAAAAUGGUAGAAAAUACAGACAAAAUGGUGGAUUAAACAUUUGGCCUAUAAAUUGUUUGUCUUGCUAAAAAAAAGUUACAUUUACUGUAAAAAUGUCUAAGCCAUAAGAAGCAAGUGAAAAUGUAGCAAAAUUAGUACAGAGUAGCUUAAAAGUUGGCAAAUAAAAUGGCUAAAACUGACCAAAGACAACAUAGUUAGCAUAGCUCGGUUUCUGUUUCUUCAAUUCCUACACCUGCUCUGUGUUUCAUGUA